GAGCAUUCAAACAAUGUGCAUGAUGGAGGAGGGGAGCUCAGUCUGAGGAUUAUUGCUACAUACCGAGGCUCUUCCUGGAGGAAUAUUUGCAGAGCCUAGUGAUAGCCACUGAACAGUCAACAUUUUCUAAUAAUAACCACAGCAGUCUGAAAGGAGACUUUCCAUAGGGAGAUCUAAGUUUCCUCGACUGUCAAGAGCAUGGGGAGUGAAGGCUGAGCUAAACCUCUGAAAAACAUUUAGGUCACCUCCCAGCAAAUGCACCAAGGAACUGCCAAAGAAAAGCAUAACAAUCUUUCAGCUUCAAUCAUUUCAGCUGAAAUUAUAAUGCAGAGGAAUGUCGAUGUGACUGCCUUCUUCCAGAACUCAUGAUCGUAUGCCAGGCUGUCAUGCAGAUUGGUCUUUCUGAGGUUCACUGGUAUCCAGUCCACGUGCUGAGUCUUUGGUCAUCUUCCAUCCACAGUCAUCGCAAGAGUCAUUGUACUGACACAGCUGUCCAGUCUCCACUGGUUAUGCCCACACCAACAUAGCCUGGCCUCCCUCAUCCUGUCCAGGGGCGAGAACUGGGGUCAGCUGCCACCAUUUGCACUAUGCAGCUUUAGUAAGAUGCUGAGCUUCACCAUCAUCAGUUGCCAUUGAUUCUCGGUAUUUAAAUUGUUUCACUGUUCUAAGCUGUCUGCCUGUUAUAUCCU